rnacentral:rRNA from 1 species
AAAACAUGGUUUUUUGUUAUACUUAAAAGAUUUAACCUGCUCAAUGAUUAUUUUUAUUAAAUAGCUGCAGUAUUUUGACUGUACAAAGGUAGCAUAAUCAUUUGUUAUUUAAUUGGUAACUGGAAUGAAUGGUUGGAUGAAAAAUAUGCUUUUUUAAUCUUAAUAAUUGAAUUUAAUUUUCAUGUCAAAAGGCGUGAGUUUUUUUAUGGGACGAAAAGACCCUAUAGAGCUUUACAUUGUGUUUUUAUAAGUAUUAUAGAUAUAAUAGAUUUAUAAUGUGUAUUAAUGUUGUAUUGGGGUGAUAGAAAAAAAUUAAUAACUUUUAUUGUUUAUCUCACUCAUAGGUGUUACUGAUCCAUAUUUUAUGAUUAUAAGAUUAAGCUACCUUAGGGAUAACAGCGUUAUUAACUUGGAGAGUUCAUAUCGAUAAGUUAGUUUGCGACCUCGAUGUUGGAUUAAAAUAAGUUUCAGGUGUAGCAUUUUGUUUACUAGGUCUGUUCGACCUUUAAUUUUUUACA